CCUGAGAAACCCAAAAGAUCGAAUGGGGAGAUUCAUCGUCAGCUCAUUUUGUAUAUAUAUAAGUUAUGAUAUGGGUUACUACUUGUAGUAUUGCCUAUACAUUCUUGUAUAUUUGAUUGCAAUAUGUUGUCGGCGUGCACUUCUCCCCUAGUAGGACAUCGCGACCCGUUGAGUGUCGGUCUACGGCCCAAGUGGUAGCCUUUAAUUUUUACGAAUUGAAGACCCUUGGUGUUUCCUGGCUGGCUACUCGGCGGUAUUCGUACGGUAUUAAGCCGCAUUUAUGUGCGUUCAUAUCCGUCGCAAGCGCGGUCAAUUUUUGGUAGUACGGACCUAGUGCCGUCGCCAUAAUUGAUCAGCUGUUGGUUGUACGGUAUUCUAGAACUGGCUUUAAUUUAUACCGGUCAGCGA
rnacentral:rRNA from 1 species